UGCCAAACUCUUAAAACAGCGUGAGAAGAGGUGGGGAGUGGCAGAGAGAUUCGUUUCCAUCUUUCCUCACCAAGCUUGCUCAUCUUUGUCCUCCUCCUUCAGAUUUAGGGUUAGGGUUUCCCCUCCUUCUCUGAUUUCGUUCAUUUGGACAUGGCUACAACCACUGCGCCAAAACAACAGCAGCAACAGGGUAAUGUGAAACCUGCACUGAGAAAGCCCGUGUUUGUCAAGGUGGACCAGCUCAAGCCUGGUACUAGCGGCCACACUCUCACUGUCAAAGUUCUCAACUCCAACGCUGUCUUGCAGAAGGGUCGUUCUGCUUCCCAGCACCUCCGUCAUACUCGAGUCUCUGAAUGCCUCGUCGGGGACGAGACUGGCUCUAUCCUGUUCACUGCCCGUAAUGAUCAAGUUGAUACUAUGAAACCUGGUACCACUGUUAUUCUCCGGAAUGCUAGGAUCGACAUGUUCAAGGGAUCUAUGAGGCUAGCAGUUGACAAAUGGGGCCGUAUUGAGGUUACUGAGCCAGCACAAUUUACUGUCAAGGAGGAUAACAAUCUGUCGUUGGUUGAGUAUGAGCUGGUAAAUGUAGAGGAGUGACAGGGCUUCUUUUGGCGGCUGACAUAACAUCAUAACAGCAGCUUAGUUUUUGAAGAAAACUGAUGGGUUAUUUGGUCUCCUGGUAUCUUUUCUUUUGUCUCGAGGAUGGAUUUGUAUCAGGGAUCAACUUAUCUUUUGUCUCUUAAUAGGAUAACCUAAAGCAUUUCUACAGGUUUGGUUUGAGGCCACAGUGCCGGCCAAGACCAGUUGCGGCACUGGCCAUUCUGGAUUUUGGUCGAACAGUUUCAAACAGUACAUGACUGAAGGGAUGAUUUCCUCUGCAAUAACAUCUAUAGCACUGUCAUACUGACCUUCUUGAACAUAGCGAGCAGCAGGUAGAAACUCUUGCUGUGCUAGAAAUGAACGUUGAGUACAAUCAUCAAGGAUUCCUUUUAAAUGGCCUGUAGCAUUCUGAAGAAGAUUGAAUGUGUCUCCAUGCAGAAAGGUUGUGUCCCUCUCUGCGCAGGAAAUGGCCAUGAGGGCCAGCCCUUGGCCAUCUGCUGACUUGCUGUUAGGAUCUGCUUGCAGGCAUGCCCUGCAAAUCACUGGUUCUUCAGUUCUGCUGCACAGUGUGUUGAUCGAACUGUCAUCAGAUCUGGCCAUGUCAUCGAGGUUGUGGUACGAGGAGAAGAAGAGUAGGAGGAAGAUGAAAAGAUGGUUGGAGCUGGAAUUCAUUUUGAAAUUAGAAUGAUCUUUUGAUAAUUUUUCAAGGUUGUAUCUUAAUUCUUAAUUACCAGUUCUUUUCUGUUACAUUACUCAUGAUCAUAUUGUUUAUUUGACUGAGAAGGCCGGAAGCAGGCAAUAGAAAGAGACAAAGAAACUACUAUAAAUACAUACUCUGACGGUGCAGUGUUUACUGUAACCUCCGAAAGAUGUU